UCCCACGUUAGUUAAUACUCUCUGUUCAUGUCAUGAAGCCCAGUUUUCCUACAUACUGCUGUCAUCUGUGCUUCAAUAAAGGGAGUGACCUCAAUCUAGUCUUAUACUACUGGACCAGUUCCUCUGUGGCAAGUGGUUUUGGAGGAAGAACUAUGUCUUUAAUACAGGGGCUAGUCUCUUGGAAACAGAGUUAAAUUUUAAAUGAAUUAAUGAUAGAUGCACAAAGAUAUAUGAUUAAAGUAUAAUAAAGAGACAAUUCUAAGCAUAUGAAGUUAGAUGCUGAGAGUAAAACAAUGAGGUAAUAUGUGUGACAGUAUCACAGGUUCUGUUCCACUCAUAGGCCUUACACUGUGUGGUUGAAGACUUAGGCCACAGAGCAAUAUUGGUCCAGGAUCUAGAAAUCUUAGAGCACAAGAAGCAACAAGGGAUUUUACUCAGAAGUAAUGUUUUCACAUUGAAUUAUAACUAUUGUCACCA